rnacentral:rRNA from 1 species
UACGAGGGGGGCGAGCGUUGUUCGGAAUUAUUGGGCGUAAAGGGUGCGUAGGCGGUUUGGUAAGUCUCGUGUGAAAUCUACAGGCUCAACUUGUAGUCUGCACGAGAAACUGCCGGGCUUGAGUGUGGGAGAGGUGAGUGGAAUUCCCGGUGUAGCGGUGAAAUGCGUAGAUAUCAGGAAGAACACCCGUGGCUAAGGCGGCUCUCUAGUACGGUACUGACGCUGAGACGCGAAAGCGUGGGGAGCGAACAGG